rnacentral:rRNA from 1 species
GACGAACCGUGCGAACGUUGUUCGGAAUCACUGGGCUUAAAGGGCGCGUAGGCGGGCUGUCAAGUCUGGGGUGAAAUGCCGCGGCUCAACCGUGGAACUGCCUCAGAUACUGACGGCCUCGAGGAAGGUAGGGGCGUGCGGAACUUCCGGUGGAGCGGUGAAAUGCGUAGAUAUCGGAAGGAACACCGGUGGCGAAGGCGGCGCGCUGGACCUCUUCUGACGCUGAGGCGCGAAAGCCAGGGGAGCAAACGGG